ensembl:snRNA U6 U6 spliceosomal RNA
GAAAAAAAAAAAAAAGUUCUCAUAUACUAAAAGCUGGAACAAUACAGAGCAGAUUAGCAUGGCCCCUGUGCAAAGAUGACACACAAAUUUGUGAGGUGUCCCAUAUUUAU